CCUACGGGUGGCAGCAGUGGGGAAUAUUGCACAAUGGGGGAAACCCUGAUGCAGCGACGCCGCGUGAAGGAAGAAGUAUUUCGGUAUGUAAACUUCUAUCAGCAGGGAAGAAAAUGACGGUACCUGACUAAGAAGCCCCGGCUAACUACGUGCCAGCAGCCGCGGUAAUACGUAGGGGGCAAGCGUUAUCCGGAUUUACUGGGUGUAAAGGGAGCGUAGGCGGUGCAGCAAGUCAGAAGUGAAAACCCAAGGCUCAACCAUGGGACUGCUUUUGAAACUGUCAAACUAGAGUACGGGAGAGGUAAGAGGAAUUCCUAGUGUAGCGGUGAAAUGCGUAGAUAUUAGGAGGAACACCAGUGGCGAAGGCGUCUUACUGGACCGAAACUGACGUUGAGGCUCGAAAGCGUGGGGAGCAAACAGGAUUAGAUACCCGAGUAGUC
rnacentral:rRNA from 1 species